GGCAGGCGUGCAGGGGCAAGGCAGGUGCGUAAGAGCGAGGCAGAUGCGCAGGUGCGCGGACCAGGUCCCGGUUCUGGCGGAUUUGGCCCAGGCACCCCCAGCCCCCAGGUAGGAGGCACAACCCUGCUCCCAAUGCCCAACACCUGCCCCCAAUGCCCAACACCUGCCCCACACACCUGAGGUACCUCCUGGGCGUCCCACACCAGGACAGGCCUGGAGACUUCCAGCCACUGCCACCUGGCACACCCAGCACCUGCAGAUCCACCACCUUAAAACCCACCUCUACUGCCCCAUGUCACGGUCCCUGCGGGGCCAGGCCUGCCUGGCACGUCCACCCCGGGUCUCCCUGCCUCACCCUCUUGCGCAUCCACAGUGAACAGGGGCAUCUUUCCAAAAUGCAGAUCUGGCCGGGUGCGGCGGCUCAUGCCUGUAAUCCCAGCACUUUGGGAGGCCGAAGCAGGUGGAUCACAUGAAGUCAGAAGUUGGAGACUAGCCUGGCCAACAUGCCAGCCUCCAGCAUCGCCUCCUCUGGGAUCUUCUCUGACUUCCCAGUCGGUUUCAGAAGCCUCUGAUGACCCCAUGCGGAGAAGACUGCUCCCCUCACUGCUGGCACACGGCAGAUGCUCAACACUUGCUCCAGCUUCGCCUUCCGCCGCGAGUUGAAGCUCCCCGAGGCCUCCUCAGAAGCAGAAGCCACCACGCUUCCUGUACAGCCUGUGGGACCCGGAGCCAGUUCAACCUCUUUUCUUUAUAAAUUACCCAGACUCGGCCGGGCACGGUGGCUCACGCCUGUAAUCCCAGCACUUUGUUGAGACCGAGGCAGGCAGAUCACGAGGUCAGGAGAUCGAGAACAUCCUGGCUAACACGGUGAAACCCCGUCUCUACUAAAAAUACAAAAAAUUAGCCGGGCGUGGUGGCGGGCGCCUGUGGUCCCAGCUACUCGGGAGGCUGAGGCAGGAGAAUGGUGUGAACCCGGG
rnacentral:lncRNA from 1 species